rnacentral:rRNA from 1 species
GCUGCCUUGGAGGCUGCACUUGACGCUGAAGAGACGAAAGCUAGGGGAGCGAACCAGGAUUAGAUGACCCUUGGUAGUCAUAGCCCUUAAACGAUGGCUGCUGGAUGUGGGAUCCAUAGAGUUCCGUGUCGAAGCAAACGCGUUAAGCAUCCCGCCUGGGGAGUACGUCCGCAAGGUUAAAACUCAAACGAAUUGACGGGACUCCGCACAAGCAGCGGAGCGUGUGGUUUAAUUCGAUGAUACACGAAGAACCUUACCUGGGUUUGACAUCUAGGUGGUAGCCAAGUGAAAGCGGAGUGACCCUUCGGGGAGCCUAGACAGGUGCUGCAUGGUUGUCGUCAGCUCGUGCCGUGAGGUGUCGGGUUAAGUCCAGUAACGAGCGCAACCCUUGCCCUCCGUUAUCCGUGUCAGAGGGGACUGCCGGCGGUAAGCCGGAGGAAGGUGGGGAGGAGGUCAAGUCAGCAUGGCCUUUAUAUCCAGGGUUACACCCACGCUACAAUGGCCAGUCCAAAGGGCAGCGAAGCCGCGAGGUGGAGCGAAUCCCAGCAAAGCUGGUGGUAGUUGGGAUCGCAGGGUGCAACCCUCCUGCAUUAAGCUGGAGUUGGUAGUAACCGCGCGUCAGCCAUAGUGCGGCGAAUACGUUCCCGGGGUUGUACACCCCGCCCGUCACGUCAUGGGAGUCGAUAACGCCUGAAGCCGCUGGCCUAGCUCGGAAGAGAGGGCGCUGUCUAAGGCGGGGUCGGUGACUGGGACGAAGUCGUAACAAGGUAACCAAGGGCGAA